CAAAAUUAUGAUUAAUAUAACAUUCAAUAAAAUCAAGAAUGUCGCAUCAAAAAAUUUUAAUUACUGUAAACAAGUUUUACUUUCAUCUUCAUAUACUUUCAUCUUCACGGUACUGCCAUGCGGGAGAAUAACAUAUGUAUGCAAUUUCCCAUGAAAUCCGUCCCCCUAAAAUAGCCCAUAAAUAGCCAUUGUUAUAGAUUUAACAAAAUGUAUGUGAGUAAAACAAAAACAUGGUUUGGAAGAUUAUUAUUAUUAUUAUUAUUAUUAUUAUUAUUAUUAUUUGCACUUUCCUAUUAGAAAUCAUUUUAAUAAAAAGUUGCAUUAUACAAUUUUAACAAAACUGGAACUCCUUUAUCAGGUCAUAUUCAAGUUUGGCUUGUGAAGAUGAAGCACACCACUACUCAAGUUAUGCAGCCUAUAUUAUAGCCCAUAAGUAUUUUGAAAUUAAUUAUUCAAAUGCUCUGAGAUGCUGUGAUUUUGUCAAGUAAGACAUGUUACUGGAUCAACAUCUUUUAUGUCCAAAAAUAUAGACUUAACCUAAUCCCUACCCCUUAACCUUCCCCUACCCAUAAUUUAUUCCUAAAACCAGUGUGAAAUGACACAUGAUUAACAAGGGUGUCCUUCUCCUGCACUUACAAAAUCUACUGUAUAAACUGCAUGCUGGUGGUACUCGUGUAUGAACCCAUGUAUAAUGGCUUGCUGUAAGUAUACAUUAAGUAUACUUAAAUUAACUGUUUUUUCAUAGGCCAUCAUAUAUGCCCUGGCUGUCCUACGGAAUUUGUCCUUACAGGAGGCUGAGCAGGUCUUCCUUUCUGGUCCGGAUUAUCAUUACAGGAGUUGAAGCCUACAGCCUUUCUGUCUGUGCAGCAACUGAUGGAAAUGUUGUAUUAUGUGUUAAUGCAAAAAUGAGUAUAUAUUUAUACAUUCUUGAAUCAUCGAGUCUUGUGUCUUGCCUCUCAGCAAACUUUUAAAUAUCUGUCUGUAAUUUAGUGACCGCAAAUGCUGAUUUCAUUUGAUUCCAUCUGUAUUAUAGUACCUCAUAAUGAGCUAAUUAGUUAAACUUAAGGUGGCUAAUCAAUAUACAGUAUAUUUCAAGAAACUAAGACUUAAUGUACUCCACUUUUUCAGUUGUUUAAAGACUGAAUUACAUUUUUCAUUUAUAUUUUAAGUGUGAAUUCAUUUAAAUUUAAAAUUGUUAAUUCAAAGCAGGUAUUACACACUUUGUAAUUAACAUCUGAUGCAUUUAUAAAUCAAAAUUCACAAUUGAAAUACAUAAAAAAAAUGUUCCUGGGAUUCAAUAUCUUUAACAACAUGUACAAACAUUACUAUAAACUAAACCACCAGCAGCCUCCAAACUGCAGCCUCCGCUAUAUAACCCGGUAGGUGGCGCUGUUACAAGAGAAUAGGGUCCCAGAAAUGCGGCUGUCACACAAUCUCAUUCUAGUGGUCAUAUAUAUAAGCAAAAGAACGAUAUUGUCUCUCGGUCACAAUAACUGAGUAAAUUCAACACAUAUCGCCUACCUGGCAUCCUGUUAUUUAUUUAUUUAUUUAUUUAUUUAUUUUUUGCAUUGUGUAAAUAAAUAAUCUAUAAUUCAAAGUUCUUACUUUUCAGAGCUUAACCAGAGCAUAAGCUAUUUCUGAAUGUCUGGCCUAUAGUUUUAAAUGUAUUUAAUAAAGUGACAAAUAAGCGCAUAUGGGUAGGCUUUUAAUUCCAGAGCUCAAAAGUACUGCAAAGAAGAACUAACAA
ensembl:lncRNA